rnacentral:rRNA from 1 species
UGAGGAAUAUUGGGCAAUGGACGCAAGUCUGACCCAGCCAUGCCGCGUGCAGGAUGACGGCUCUAUGAGUUGUAAACUGCUUUUAUACAGGAAGAAACCCUCCGACGUGUCGGAGGUUGACGGUACUGUACGA